AAAAAUUCUCCUUGGCUCUCCAGGACCGGCUGACUGAGCAUGUCGGGAGGCUGGUCACACCUCUUCUUUAUUCUACAUUCUGAAAAUAGAUGGCUUUCUUCUCAUGGAUGCAGUCAGGUUGUUCUUCUAGCUAUCGGGCCUGUGAAACAUCAAUAUAAUGGGAAAAGUUAGUUUUUAUUUGUUUGAGUAUGGUCCCACUCUUUGAGGGCAAAUCUCAAAGCUUGGCAGCUUCUGCCACCAGAAGGCAGAGCAUGCAUUCUUGCAAUGGUAGAUGUGUUCUUUCUUUUUAAAGAUUUAUUUAUUAUUAUACAUAAGUACACUGUAGCUGUCUUCAGAGCCACCACGUGGUUGCUGGGAUUUGAACUCAGGACCUUUGGAAGAGCAGUCAGUGCUCUUACCCACUGAGCCAUCUCGCCAGCCCAGGUAGAUGUGUUCUUGCGGGCUCCUCUAAGUGUGUGGUAGGCAUGCACUGUGAAUUAAUCCCUAAGUGAAUUCUAACUCCAAAUGCUCUGAGAUCCACUCUUGUAGCCCCAUGAAGGUCGUGUAUCUUCGGGAAUUCUCUUUUCCCCUCAAUACAAGGAACGAGCUAGUGUUGGAAGCAGAUUUUAGUUCCCUAGUUCAGGAACACACUAGAAUAGGAUCUCUUGCUCAGGAUUUCUCCUGAGGAUCCUCAUAUUAUAGUGUGUGUGUGUGUGUGUAUGUGUGUGUGUGUGUGUGUGUGUGUGUAUGUGUAAUAUUUUCCAUCUGAAGAAAUUAUUUUUCUCUUAAGAAUUAACUCCAAUUUUAUAACAUCAGGAACAUAGAACUGAAUGAAAAAUGUUUACAUUGUAUCUUUGUCACAAUUAUUUUAAGUAAGUAUAUUUCAAAUACUUACCAUGUGCCGGGCACUGGAUUAGACCCCCAGAGACAGGAUGAUGAGGAAGAUUGGUAUAGCCUGCUCCUUCAUGGAAAAUAAAGACAUAUAUUGCUAUUGUAACUUAAAUAAACAAUGUGAGAAAAAUUACAGCUAUCUUAACUGGAUUAAGCAGGGUAACCUGAAAAGGCUGGACACAUUUACAAAAGAAUGGCCUGGUUGUGCAAAUUGUGAGAACAGAGAGAACAUUCUAGAACAUUCCAGAGAGGACAGAGUGUGCAAGAGGGUCGAGAAUCCAAGAAAGUGUAAAAUGCAUAGGACCUAUUUCUUCAGUUUCAUCUCAGCAAGAAAAGAGUGCACUGAAGAGUUUCCAGGAGAAAAAAUUAGGCCGGCUAUCACCGGCCUGGCACCACUUUUACUGUGUGGGAAGGAGUCCAAGUGCAACUGUCUCUAAACACUGUAAUAGUUAAAGUACAAUUACACUUGAAUGUGCCCUGCAGUACACCAGCAAGUACAUGUGCUUGCAAGUCUGACUGUAAGCACAGGAUGAGGAAAAAUGGGGAAUGGAACUGGUAGUCUGCCAGGCUCUUCUGCACCCUCUAAAACCAGGCCCUUGUUUCUUGAAUUGACUUGAAUUGACUAUGCAGAGAAUUAUGCUGAACAGUUCUCAGGCUGUAGUGCUACUGUUCCCUAUUACACUUAGAACUUAAUUUUCCUGUGCUAGUAGCUACAAUGAGACCAGUGUCGACAAAAUGGGUUCAGUCUUUUCCAAAUACCCUGAAUCCCUCCGGUCCUUAAGCCAGGUCACAGAUGUGGGCUUGGUACCAGAUUGUAACAAGUUGUAGGAAGAUUAAAAGAACAUUCAAUUUAGAUCCUGCUAGUAUAUUCUGAGAUCUUGCUUGCACCAGCCCACAGAAAUCUUGAACUCUGGCCUUUUCAGACACCCACUUUUAUAAACACUUGAGUCUAAAUAAGGGACAAACUCACAGAUGGCUGACAGAAACUGUGCUUUCUAGAGAUUUUCAUAAACUUAUUUCAGUCCAGAAAGAAAAGAUGAACCCCGAAGAGAGAUCUUAGCUGUUUGAAAGGUGCCGGGCUGAACACCUGAAUUCAGAUCUUAGGCGCCCACAGAAAACUGGGUGUGGUUACACAGCUGUAAACCUGGAGCUGUUAGGAUAGAAACAGAAGGAUCUGUGAGUACUCGGUUCAGAGACAGAUCCUCACUCAAAAGAUAAGGUGAAGGAUAGCAGUGGAGGCCUCAGCAUGCACGUGACAUGUUCAUACACAAACACAUGUGAAGCCAGGCAGGCAUGGUGGCAGGCAUUUUAAUCCCAGCUCCAGGAAGCAGAGACGGGCAGAUUCCUAGUGCCUACCUAGUACAUACUUUGUCUGGAAAAACAAAAGGUAAACAAUAAUUCCAGACAAGGCUACCAUACACAUACAUACUCACAUACAUACUCACACACACACAUAUACAUGAGAUCCCAUAUAUACAUGAGCAUAUAUGCACAUAUGCCAUACAUUCAAAAGAAAAGAGAUCAAUAUAGCACAUACCCUGUGCUUUCUCUUUUGUGAUGUCCAGGGCACACACAGCCCUGGAACCUGUGAGAGCUUCCCUAAGUAAAAGAGAAGGAAGCAUGGGCCCCACUGCAGUAAAUGCUUCCUGUAAUAGGACGCUGAUUCUAGUGGCCCAGAGAGAUGCAUUCUGGAGUUGGAGAUAUAGCACAGUUAAUCUGGUGUUUGCCUAACAUGAAGCCCGGGACUCAAUCCCAGUCAUGCCUGAACCAGAGGACAUGGCACACACCUAAAACCUCAGCACUCAGGAGGUAGAGGCUAGAGGACCAAAAGUUUGAGAUCAUCUUUAGCUGUGAACUGAGGUGGAGGACGGAGGAUCAGUAUCGUGUUCACUGUCAUGGUCAACUAUGGAAUAAGCGCAAAGCCAGCCUGAAUUACAUGAUCCACAUGCAUGCGCAUGUAGGCAUUGUGUGUGUUUGUGUGUGUGUGAACUAGGAAAGGUAAUGGAUUCUAUUUUCGUAGACACAAAUGUCAAUGUUUUUCUUAUCUCUUCUCUUUCUUUAACCUUUUCUGAACCACAACCCUCUACACACAUGCUGCUUCUCCAUUCAGUAGAUGUCGCAUCAGAGCACAUACAUGUAUGUCAUCUCUGCGCCCAACUUGGACACAUCUCUGCUACUUUGAAUCCUCUAGUGUCUUCAGAUGAUUUUCUUAAACAAUCCCUUCUCAAUGGGGCUUAUUCUCCCCAGCCAAUCUGUUACAAAUGUUAGCAUCCAGUUACGCAGCAAGCAGCUCAGAGUCACCUUAUCCACUCUGCUGUAUCUCCAGUUUUCUAAAAGUGUUCCCAGUUGUAUUAAAGCCUUAAUAAAUAUUGACUGACUAGGGCUGGAAGAUUGCUCAGUAGGUAGAGUGUUUGUCAUGAAAAUGUUAGAACCUGAUUUUAUACUUCUGGAAGCCAUGAAAGAUCAGACAGGAUGAAACAUGUCUUUAACCUGGCACUCCUUUGGCCAGAUUGGAGGUGGAGUCAGAAGUCCCAGAAGAGACCCAUUCUCCCACAAGGUGAAAAUAGAAAACCAAUACCCAAGGUGGUCUUUGAUCUCCACAUGUGCACUGUGGCACAUAAUUGCUCACACAGACACCUACAUACACAUGCAUACACAAGUACGCACACAUGAAGAAAAAUAAAGGAAGAGGCUCUCCUAAGUGCCCUUAGAGUCUAAAUAUGCUCUCACAGUCAGUAGGAUUGAUAAAUACUUUCCAAGAGCUUAUUCAACCGGAAGCAUGGGUCUUUAUGUUACAAGAUAAAUAAAAUUAUUCUGAUUGGAAAAAU
ensembl:lincRNA